rnacentral:RNase_P_RNA from 1 species
CCAGAUGGUCGGGCGAUCGCUGUGGUCCUUACGGAACAUGGAGGAAAGUCCGGGCUCCACAGGAAGACGGUGCCGGCUAACGGCCGGCGGGGGCGACCCUAGGGACAGUGCCACAGAAACAAUACCGUCCGCCUGUUUUCUCCUUUCUUGGGAGAUGAUGCGGAUAAGGGUGAAACGGUGCGGUAAGAGCGCACCGCGCGGCUGGCAACAGCGGCGGUCAUGGUAAACCCCACCGGGAGCAAGACCGAAUAGGAAUGACAAGCCAGAUUAUGGCUGAGGGGUCCUGCCCUGUCAUUCGGGUUGGUUGCGUGAGGUGUGUUGCAAGACACAUCCCAGAGGAAUGAUCGCCCCGUCCCUUGCUAUCAUGGGACAGGACAGAACCCGGCUUAUAGACCAUCUGGCCCC